rnacentral:lncRNA from 10 species
AUUUAUUGUUUCGUUGAGCAUUAUUACAGAUCAGCAUUGUCAAGAACCAAUGGUGUUCCCUGAAGAAAGAAUACAACAUGGGACACAGGACUCUCAGAAAGUAAUUGGCACAUCUUUGAAGCAGCUGUCCAGUGGUUCUUGGAGCCUCACUGCUAAACCGUCAGUAAGAAGCAGAGAAAAUCAAGGCAUAUCCAUCCGUUCCAGUGCAUCCUAGACUAUAGAUGACUUCAAGGGAACACCGCAGCAAUGCAAAGAGAGAUGCCAGGCUAUGGGGUGGUUGCUCUGGGGCCUGUCUCCAUCAAUGUCCCACUCACCUGUACUUCUGAGAAAUAAAAGCUACU